GCGCUUCCUGGUCUCUCCAGCCUACAAGUCGGGAGUCGGCGACCGCUUAGUGACGAGCGAUGAUUUUAAAGAGCAGAAUAAAAGGUUUUCCCGUGCCUGCCCCACAGCCCCUCCAGCUCGAAUAAUGGAGAACUGUCAAUGCACUCCGCGAGCGGUGGCCCAUUGUACGCAGCUGAUGGCGAGGAGGCGACUGGGGGUAGCAGGGGCUCCUUGCCCUCGUCCCUAUGCCCAAAUAAACGCGCAAACGCGCUCCCGUCUUCUGGUCAGUUAAAAGGUGAAACGAACACGAUUAAAAUAGACCAAAAGAAAAGAAAGAAAAGAAAACCUUUCUAUGUACAGAUUCUAAAUCGUACUCCCCAUACAGUCAGAGGCAGGGAGUCGAGGGCAGAGGCAGCAGGCGGAGAGAGGGAGAUAGGGCGAGGGAAGGAGAACGCGGAGAGAGACGAAGGGAGUGGGAGACCAGCGACAGCGAGCGCCAGGGCACCGCAGGCACACUGGAUGCCCAGUCCGCCGGCCCAGCCGCCCUCGGACCCUGGACCGUGCGUCGUGGGCACCAGAAACGAGACUCGGCCAAAUCCUGCCUCACCAGCAGGUAGAUGAAACUCAAGAGAAAAGGUGUGGAUAAAUGAAACUAGCCCAUGAUGAACCUGUUUUCUCCGUGACCACAAUAUUAACCAGGAUGAAUGGCGGUGGCAGUGGGCCUGCAUCACAGGUUGCAGCAGAUGUUCUCAAUAUUUCUAUUAAAAUUUCCUUAUUUCCAUAUGCAAGAGGAGCCCCAGAGCUGCAUCCUUAUGGUAGCUACCAUGCCGUGAUGUAAGCUGCCAUUCACUGGGGAGCUUUGGCAAUAGAAUUGGCUAGAUCAGGAAGCCUAUGUCAACUAUGGAACAACAACUUGCAGCUCAUCUCUAUUGAUGGACCUCUAACAAUGAUAUUGGAAGAAUAGAUACUAAGUCUUGGAGAGGUGAAACAGUCGCAAAUGGAAUUCCAAGAAACAUUCUAUAUACACUGCCUCUAGGACUGGGACAGAUAGCCACUGAGUACCUGCUUCAAAUCACCCUGCACGUUUUCUCUUUGGAAAGAUAAGCACUGGAGAACCAUCUCGUUACCUUCAGCAGAAAUGGAAACAAAUCAAGACAUUAAGAAUGCCGCAGUGGACAGCAGUUAUGCAAGGUUCAGCAGAGGAAGUUUUCAAGAUGGUGUGCCUCACUAGCCAGAAAUCAGAAAAGAUCGAAGCUAGCCUUUUCAUCUCAGCUGCUCCUUAAAUCAGUGCAACCCCUCCAAAUUAAUGUGAAUUGAAACUUGCAUUGCUUUUCAACUUAAUUGAAUACUUACUAUAUGUGAACCACUGCACAAAAUAGGGGAAGAAGAUGUGGGAGACAAAGAUGUGGAGCCUGUCUUCAAUAAAUUUACAGUUAGUUUCAGGGUACAUUGUUUUUCUUCUGCUGUUAAUUAGGUGUAUCCCCAAGACAAUAAAUACAUGAAUGGAAAAGUAUAUUCUGUGUUUUAAGUCUCUUUAAUAAAAAACAAAACAAAAUCCAAAAAAACUCCUAACAUGGCAACUCAGGACAUUUUAAUCCUUUUUUUUGUUGUUGGGCUUCUGAUAGGAUCCAUUUUAUUGAUUCCAUAAAUAUUUAGUAGACUUUAGACAUAUUAAUACAUUGUAGUUUGAGUUAAUUUGCAUUAAAUUCUGUUUUUUUCCCCUUAGGUAUAGAUUGUCUGUUGGAAAAAUAUAUUGCUUGUGGAUUUCUUGGGGAGUGGGAAGGUGAAUUAUACCUGUUGUCUCUACAGUCCACUACCUUCCACACCCUAGGGCAGUGGUCCCCAACCUUCUUGGCACCAGGGAUCAGUUUCCUGGAAGACAAUUUUUCUGUGGAUGGUGUGGGGAUGGUUUUGGGAUGGAACUGUUCCACCUCAGAUCAUCAGGCAUUAGUUAGGCUCUCAUAACGAGUGCGCAGCCUAGAUCCCUCACAUGCACAGUUCACAGUAGGGUUUGCGCUGCUAUGAGAAUCUAAGGCUGCCACUGAUCUGACAGGAGGCAGAACUCAGGUGGCAAUGCUUACUGGCCCACUGCUCACCUCUUGCUGUGCGGCCUGGUUCCUAAUAGGCCAUGGACCCCCACAGACGGGUACUAGUCUGCAGCCUGUGGACCCCAGCCCUAGGGGCCUGCCAUUCUGAGUGAGUUAUUAGCAUGAAGAAGAGGAAGAUCUGGAUCAAACGUGGGUGAUGGUACUCAGAGACCCAAGAUAGGAUAGGGAUGGAACAAAAUCCAUCUGGGCAACGGCUCUAUGAAAAUUUGGCUAAGUAAUUAUUUCAGUAUUCAUUGUAUUCAUUGUCCUUCGUGUUCCAUAAGUUAAAUGACUGUCUAAUUUUUCCAAAAAUUUAUUUCUGACUUGAGAAUAAGUGUGUCAUGAUUUUCCCAGUGUAAAGACACUGAUAUAACUGUAGAUACCAGACAUUUUAUGUAGUGUCUAUGACACAUUUUAGUAUGUAUGAGCCAACAAUAGACAUGUCUUUGUCUUGAGGAGUGUCCAUCUGAAUUGAAAAUGUGUCAGCUUUUUUUUAACAUCAUCAACAGACUUCUUAAUUAAGCUGCCAAUACAUACUGCCAAUAGCACUGUGUGCUGUCUGAGAAAUGCAUUGUGUAAGUGCUAUUUCCAUCUUAUUAAAUAAACAAUGUUGCUC
rnacentral:lncRNA from 1 species